GAUGAACGCUGGCGGCGUGCCUAAUACAUGCAAGUCGAGCGAACAGACGAGGAGCUUGCUCCUUUGACGUUAGCGGCGGGCGGGUGAGUAACACGUAGGUAACCUACCUAUAAGACUGGGAUAACUUCGGGAAACCGGAGCUAAUACCGGAUAAUAUUUCGAACCGCAUGGUUCGAUAGUGAAAGAUGGCUUUGCUAUCACUUAUAGAUGGACCUGCGCCGUAUUAGCUAGUUGGUAAGGUAACGGCUUACCAAGGCAACGAUACGUAGCCGACCUGAGAGGGUGAUCGGCCACACUGGAACUGAGCCACGGUCCAGACUCCUACGGGAGGCAGCAGUAGGGAAUCUUCCGCAAUGGGCGAAAGCCUGACGGAGCAACGCCGCGUGAGUGAUGAAGGUCUUCGGAUCGUAAAACUCUGUUAUUAGGGAAGAACAAACGUGUAAGUAACUGUGCACGUCUUGACGGUACCUAAUCAGAAAGCCACGGCUAACUACGUG
rnacentral:rRNA from 1 species